AUACGGAGGGUGCAAGCGUUAAUCGGAAUUACUGGGCGUAAAGGGCGCGUAGGCGGUUCUGUAAGUCGGGUGUGAAAGCCCCGGGCUCAACCCGGGAACUGCAUUCGAUACUGCAGGACUAGAGUAUGGGAGAGGGAAGUGGAAUUUCCGGUGUAGCGGUGAAAUGCGUAGAUAUCGGAAGGAACACCAGUGGCGAAGGCGACUUCCUGGCCCAAUACUGACGCUCAGGUGCGAAAGCGUGGGUAGCGAACAGGAUUAGAAACCCCAGUAGUCC
rnacentral:rRNA from 1 species